UUGAUCGAGAAGAAGGAAGUAGCAGCCGUUCUGCCCUUCACGAGCCAGCGACCCUCCAAUCCACAACAAUGGUACCUCUCUCUCUACACAUCCACUGUUUGUUUCCUCAGAAAUUUGUUUGACGUUUCAGUUUUGUGGGAAAAUGUAUUUGUUAAUAUAGGCUUGUAAAACCUAGAACCCCAACUUGUUAAAUAGACUAGAGAGUUCCAAAGUUGAGAAAUGAAAUGCAAACCGAGUGUUGGGGUUUCUCAAUGGUGAAACCUAGAACCCCAACUCGUUUGACGUUUCCAGAUAAUUUGUGUAAGUGUUAUUCCUUACUGGUACAAGUUCAAAGAGGGCGCAUCCGCAUUUGAUGCGUUAAUUCGAUUAGGCGACGGCAAAGAAAAGAAGGUGACAUAUCCUUAAACACAAGGCAAGAGCAUUGCCACAAACACCUUGGGCUUAAAUCACGACGCAAUCCUCAAGGUUUGGUUUGCAACAUAUUGCAAUAGAAGAAACAUGUGGCUCGUGUGCUACGAUCACCAUCUGAGACCUUUGUUAAACCGGAAAAAUAAUGCUACUAAAGUAGUGCCGCUAGAACAGAGUAGUGAUGAUCUCAAUCCAUGGUGAUGCAAUUUUAUACCGAUGGUUUUAGAGGCUGCCCACUACAUGCACAGUUAUGGAAGUUAUCAUGGAGAUUUGAGUUGCAUUGGUAGUUUCGUGAUGGUGGGGAAAAAGGUCAAGCAAGUUAACAUCGAGAAGGGGUUUCACGGCAUACAUGGUCCACGAGCGUUGUUGCACAAGCUUUGAGACGUUAAGGUAUUUCGAGAUUUGUAAAAGGAUAUGUUGAAAGAAGAGGUCUCGAUGGUCGCACUCAAUUUCGGGCUUCAACUCAUACCUUAACAAAUCUCGAAACACCUUUAGGUUUGAAAGCUUGUGCGACAACGCAUGCAAUGGGCUAACAAUAAUAUGGUUCAAAUUCACCUUUGACGAGAAUCAAACAUAAGAUCUCUCACUUACAAGUGAAGAAUAGUACUAGACAAUAGUAUUAAGUGGUUGAAAUACCUAACAUUUUAGAUCGAGUCUAGUCUUGUCAUUUACUUUCAUGGCAAGUAAACAUCCCUUAAAUUUCAUUUUCCUACAUCAAAGAGUUUGAAUUUAAUAAAUAAAGCCUAUAUAUAUAUAUAAUAUAAUAUAAUUAGGGACUAGCUAGGUGUGUGUUUUGGAACAAAAUAUUGUGAGCUUAUCUGUUUGAAGACUCUAUGAAUGCCACUAGACAAAAAAACUUGACAAAUACCAUAGAGCCUAAAUAUCAAAUAGACCAAAAGGGAGAUUCAUUGCUUAACAAAAAGGAAGCCUGAAUAUAUAAAAGAAAACUAGACAAAUACCAUUUGCCUCCUUUGUCAUGCAUGCCUGUUAUGCACACAUAAACCCAAAGUUCCCUCUUUGUGGUAAUAUGACACCAAUGCUAUGUUUCGGUAAGGGAUUUUCAAAUUCCAAGGAAAUGAAGCCAAGUUAGUGGGGAAUGGACAAUACACUAUUACAUAAAAGGAUUAGAAAUGCUAUUGACGAGCAUUGCAAAGGCAUGUCUGAAUAACUUGAAAAUAAAUCCUUCCACUUAGGGAUUUUAUAAUCCCUCUCACAUGUCUUUGUAGUAUUCUUUACGAGCAUUUAUCAACCCAUGUAUCUCAAUAGUUAUAGCCCAUUCCUUAAUAGCUAAACCUUAUGCCUUUGAGACUCAUGAUUGAGUGAGAGAUUAGAAUGGCAUCGUAUGCCUUUAAAUUAGACUUACAAACGAGUUUUGUUUGUUGUGUUUGUGUAUAUUUCAUAUCAUAUUCGUUGUCUUAAUAGAUGGUCUCAUGUCAAAUCCGCUAUCUUGAACAUGUUUUUAAUGAGUGACUUGCUAACAACCCAAUCUGUUAAAGAAUUGAACCAAAACAUGUUAUUUUUGUGUUGUAUCAAGUUGAUAGAUCUUGCAAUAAAAUAUUCAAAAAAUCCAUAACAUGAUUUGAGCGUAUAAAAAGUUGAAAUAAUCAUCCUCCUCUCACGUAAGGGUGGGUUAAAAAAAAAUGAAUUGAACACCAAACCGAAAUAAAAAAUACUAAACUGAACUGAAAUUGGUUGAUUCGGUUUUGGUUUCAAUGAUUUGAAAACCAACCGAACAAAUAUAUUUAAUUAUUUUUAUAAAUUUGAUUAUCCUAUCUCUCCUCACUUUGUCUCUCUGCCUUUCAAGAGCUCUGUUUUUUUUUUUUUUUUUUUUCAUUUAUCUGUCAUACUGUUUUCUAUAUAGUAAAAUAUUCUCAUAUUUUUUUUGGUGCAACAUUAAAAAUCCUCAUUUUUCUAACAUUAAUACCCUCAUCAGUGGCCUUCUCUCUAACAAAAUCCUCACGCUGUUAAAAAAAAAAAGCUGAAAAAUCUCUCACGUUGCACUUCAUUUUUUGGUCCAACAUUACAAUCCUCAGAAACCUCACACUCCAUAUUCCUUUUGUCUCUAAAUAACAAUAUCAAGUUAAAAGAACUAAAAAAAAAAUCGAACCGAACCAAAAAAGGCACCAAAACAGAACCGAAAGUAAACCAAACCGAAAAUAAACAAAAAAAAAACCAAACAAAACUGGACCGAAUAGUAAGUUCUGGUUGUUUUUUAUUUUGGCAAAAAAAGGAACCGAAUGGCACCAGACCCACCCUUAUUCUCACGGCCUUCCUUCAUGCUCCUCUCGCGGCCUUCAUAGUGGGGCCAUGUUUGAAAUAAUAGUAGUGAAUUGCUACUAGAAUUCGUACCCCUUCCUUGUCUGUGUCACAGCCACCCGUAUACACAUAUUCCCCG